rnacentral:rRNA from 1 species
UACCAGCUCCUCGAGUGGUUGGGACGAUUAUUGGGUCUAAAGCGUCCGUAGCUGGCUGGGGAAGUUCUCCGUUAAAUCCAACGAUCCAAUCGUUGGGCCGCGGAGAAUACUCUCCGGCUUGGGGGCGGGGAAGGUCGGCGGUAGUCCCGGGGUAGGGGCGAAAUCUGAUAAUCCCGGGAGGACCACCAGUGGCGAAGGCGGCCGACUGAAACGCGCCCGACAGUGAGGGACGAAAGCUGGGGGAGCGAACGGG